AAACAGUACUAGUCCACCUUUGUCUACAGCAGCAGCACUAGCGCUAGCACCAGUACCCAGCACCAGCAGCAGCACUAGGCACCAGCUACAAUACAUAACACAGCAGCUGCAGUACUUAAAGACUGUGUAGUGCCUGAGUUGCUUGUGCUAGCUGGCUGGUUAUUUUGGUAUCAGGUUGUUUCAGUUGUCGACGUGAUACUGACUGAAUGAGUUAAACGCGGGCUUAAAUCACCAAUCACCGUUAUACGUGCUAAUCGUCGUUCUUCACUCAAAGGCGAAAAAAAAAAAAUCCACAAACACAAAAAAAAAAAAAAGCAAAAGAAACAAAAGCAAAAACCAAAAGAAAAAACGAAACAUAUUCAGACACAUUUACUUAUUCGCUGCAUUGCGUUUACGGUCUAUAAAAUGUAGUGCGGUCUCGUAUAUAUAAGACAGGAGCCUAAGCUAAAGGAAUUGAUGUUUGAUUAUUAACACAGAUACACAGAAAUGUGCAUUCAUCGAUCUAUGCAUCGCUGAAAAACACACUGGAUGAAAAAGAGUUUUUUUGUCUUCUUUUUUUUUUUUUUUUGUUUAUUCAUGUUGUUAUUACCAUUGUUGUUGUGGCGUUUAGGAAAAAUCAAACUGAAAUCUCGAUAUACAUAAGUUUUGUUUGUUUUGUUUUUUUUUUUAUUUAAUUUAAAGUGCUUUUGUUGUCGUUAUUCUGGAUGUUUUUUUUUUUUUCUUUUUGAAAACGUGUGUGAGUAUCUGUAUCUUUGCAUGACAUAGUGAAUAAUUGUGUAAACGCUUUCGAAAGCCAUUGUAAGAGAAAUGUUCAUGUGCGCGCACACAUAUACAAGAGCACACGCAGCAUACACACGCGCGCACACGAGCAAGCACAAAUUUAGUUACGUGCAGAUGGAUUUCGCUGACAUGUAUGGAAUGUGCAUCUAAUGCUUAUGAAUUGAGCGUUAGAAACGAUUUAUGAGCACACACACACACAUGCACACACAGUUUUUAUAAACGUACAGCCAUACGCAUAUGCAUACGCAUUCGCAAACGCGUUCACGCAUGCCCACAUGAUACGUUCAGAGCUAGUAAAGCACAGAUGUAUAUAUCACUGUUUGUUAAGUGUUUUCUGUGCCAAUUCAUAUCCAACAACGUGAUGCUUUUACUGUUUGUUGUUGUAGUUAUGUUACCAUUGCUGUUAGUUUCAAAAGAAGUGAAUUAAUUUAAAAGGAAAAAAAGAAAGAGAGCAAAAGAGUUAAAAAAUCAUAAAUAAUUUGUAAUUAAGUUUAAAAAAUAAAACAAAAAAUUAUAAAUAAAUAAAGAAGAAAUGACAGAAACUGUUAUAUAAAAAUCGAUUGGACAAUUAUAUAAUUGUAGCAGCGCGUAACCAGAACGUCGAAACAGAAGAAGGCUACGGCAUGAAAAGCCACAAAAUUGCAACCAAAGUCAUAAAAUGGAAUUAAAAAAUAUUAAAUUAAGUAAAAGAAGUAAUAAUAAUAAUAAUAAUAAUAAAUAAAUAAAUAAAUAAAAUAACUGGACGUUUUCCAUGAAUGGACAGUUGCUUGAAGAGAAAAUAGCAAUAAAACAAAAAAAAAAAAAAAAAAAAUCUUAAAAGUUUAUAAUAAGAAUGCAAAAAUAAAAAUUAUGGUUAUAUGAAAAAACCAAAUUAUAAAGAAUGCAAUCAAAUGUCUCAACUUCCGUUUGGAAUUAAGUUACAAGAAAAUAAAAAACAAGCAAAAAAAAAAAAAAA